rnacentral:lncRNA from 1 species
UUGGACCAAAUUCGAUCGGCAGAUUAUUAGGUGAUCAUAGGACUUUCAGUUCAAAUAAUUUGGCCCAACAAACCAUAUAUUUUAUAUGGGAAGAUGUAGCAGCCAGCGGUUCUACCAAUACUAGGGGCAAAUACUAGUCAGCAAAGCAACAAUGGCCACAUGCAACAACCUUGGAACUCAACCUUUUAAGUAAACUAAUGUUGGAGGUGAAAUUGUCCAAAAAAAAAAAAAAAAAAAAAUGUUGGAGGUGAAAACCAUGAUCACAAAGAGACGAACACUACUAACCAGACAAUGUCUUGUCGUUAAUAAGUCAGGAGGAUCUCAAUGGUUUGCAACAAAUCAUAAUUUCUCUCUAGUGACUUAUUUCCUAAACUCUUCGUUAACUUCACCUUUAAACCCC